GUUAAAUGGCCAGCAGGAAUUAUCCACUAGAGAAGCGGAAGGGAGAGAAUGGAAAUGGCCGCAUGCAGCUCCUCUCCCUCAGACAGCUCGGGGCUCAGCGGAAUGAGCACAGUCUGCAGGACAAGUGCGGAGGACUUCAGUCCCCUCUACUGUAUAUUGGCUUUAGGACUCAAGUUGUCCCUGAAAUAGAGGAAGGUGUUUUCUAGGGUAGUGGUAAUUAUCACAGUCAAAAAAGUAGGCGAGAGCACUUAGGAAAACUGUGCGGAGAUCGGCUGCUGAUGUGUAAAUACUGCUGAAGCUGCUUAUUCAAGAUUAGAAAACCUGAGACCCAGACGGGGGAAACUGCUUUCCAUGGUUAAUCGUCAACAACUGGCCAGGAUGGGACAGAAGCCCAUACAUAGCCUUCAUUCCAGGGCUCAGAACAAAAAGAAGGCAGUGGCCUGGGCUGCACCUGAGCUUGGCUUCACAUAGGAGGGAUUCUGGAACGCAGGAUCCUGACAACGACCUCAAGCCCCUGUAAAGCAACACAUUUUUUGGCAAGAAUCCCUGGGACAGAGAAAGAAUUUCUUCUCACUUAUUAUUGAGAAUGUUCUCAUGUCUUGCAAGGCUCACUGCCCAGUAGAAGCUGAAAAGAUUCAGUAUGAGUAAAAGAAGAGAUCUGAAAUUUGCAGCUUGUCAUAGAAAGAACUGAGACUACCAUACACCUAAGAAGUCAAAGUUGCUAUUCAAGGGGAAGUGCAAACACAAGAUGAGGGAAACUGAUGUAUUUAGUGUCUACAUUUUACAAAUGGAUGCUUUUCAUAAUAUGAAAAUACUGCACCAUAAGAUUGCCAGUCACAACAGCACGGCUACAGUGAAAAUUGUCAGUCUUUUUUUUUUCCAGGAUCCCAGUGGAUUUGUUACGGUGAGAAAGCUUCACUUGGAGACAAAGCCAAAACCUUCCUCCCAGGCUCCCUUGGAUGUAGGGGGAAGCAAACUGGCUGUCCAGGCCUCUGAGCCACAUCUACACACCUCAUGAGAGGGCCUGUGCAACAUUGCCUUAGAGAUGGAGAGCAUUGCUUCAGAAUCAGGGAAGCCUAAAUUUCACCCCUGGGGCUGCCCCUUGUGAUCUUGAAUGGCUCCUGACAAGAGGCUGCUGGGGAGGCUCCUGCUCCCUGCCUUUCGGGACUGCCGUGGAUUGCCCAUUGAUGGGUCAAAAUCCAGCUACCUGGUAAUUCAAUGAGUCCCUAGUGUGCAUCCAAUAAAUUAUCUUCUGUUUAAAUUAGAACAAACUGUUUUUAAUCUGUGUGCUAAGAAUCUCAUUAAAUGCAUCAUAAAUUUCAAAAUCAAAAACUAAAUAAAACAUUUAUCUAUCGAGUACU
rnacentral:lncRNA from 1 species